CGGGAUGUAGCGCAGUCCGGUAGCGCACCUGCUUUGGGAGCAGGGGGUCCCAGGUUCGAAUCCUGGUAUCCCGA
rnacentral:tRNA from 3 species